AUGUCGGGCGCCUCCGGGCCCCUGGCCGUUCUGCUCCUCGUCCUCGUCGCGGCCGUCUCCGCGUCGUCGACGGGGAAGGGGGAGUCUUGGCGGGCGGAGCAGGAGCGGGACCGGGUGCCGCGGGUGCCGGGGCAGGCGUUCAACGCCAGCUUCGCGCACUACGCGGGCUACGUCACCGUCAGCGAGGAGCGCGGCGCCGCGCUCUUCUACUGGUUCUUCGAGGCCGCGCACGACCCGGCCUCCAAGCCGCUCGUGCUCUGGCUCAACGGAGGGCCUGGUUGCUCAUCAAUCGCUUUUGGUCUCGGGGAAGAAGUGGGUCCUUUCCAUGUCAAUGCCGACGGAAAGGGUGUGCAUAUGAAUCCUUACUCUUGGAACCAAGUUGCAAAUAUCUUGUUCAUUGAUUCACCGGUUGGCGUUGGUUAUUCAUAUUCAAACACCUCUGCUGAUAUUUUAAGCAAUGGGGAUGAGAGGACUGCCAAGGAUUCGUUGGUGUUCCUAACAAAGUGGCUUGAACGAUUUCCUCAAUACAAGGAGCGUGAAUUUUAUUUAACUGGAGAGAGUUAUGCUGGACACUACGUUCCUCAGUUGGCUCAAGCCAUAAAGAGGCACCACGAGGCCACUGGAGACAAAACAAUCAAUCUCAAGGGUUAUAUGGUGGGAAAUGCCCUGACUGAUGAUUUCCAUGACCACUAUGGAAUAUUUCAAUAUAUGUGGACCACUGGCUUGAUUUCUGAUCAAACAUACAAGCUACUGAACAUUUUCUGUGAUUUCGAGUCCUUUGUGCAUUCAUCUCCACAGUGCGAUAAGAUUCUUGACAUUGCUAGCACUGAAGCUGGGAACAUUGAUUCAUAUAGCAUCUUCACACCUACUUGUCAUUCAUCUUUUGCCUCCUCAAGGAACAAAGUGGUGAAAAGGCUUCGGUCUGUUGGAAAAAUGGGAGAGCAAUAUGAUCCAUGCACUGAACAACAUUCAAUCGUAUAUUUCAAUCUGCAUGAGGUGCAGAAGGUACUUCAUGUUAAUCCGGUCAUUGGCAAAUCUAAGUGGGAGACCUGCAGUGAAGUUAUUAACACCAACUGGAAGGACUGUGAAAGAUCUGUACUGCAUAUCUAUCAUGAACUUAUUCAAUAUGGGCUUCGUAUAUGGAUGUUCAGUGGAGACACAGAUGCAGUAAUUCCAGUAACAUCAACUAGAUACAGCAUUGAUGCCCUCAAGCUUCCAACAGUGAUCCCGUGGCAUGCUUGGUAUGAUGAUGAUGGCGAGGUUGGUGGCUGGACCCAAGGGUACAAGGGUCUCAACUUUGUGACAGUAAGGGGUGCAGGUCACGAGGUUCCUCUUCAUCGUCCCAAGCAGGCUCUUACGCUCAUCAAAUCAUUCUUGGCCGGGAGCCCAAUGCCUGUGCUGUCUGAUCUACGCAGCGAUAUGUAA
rnacentral:rRNA from 1 species